AGUGAACGCUGGCGGUAGGCCUAACACAUGCAAGUCGAACGGCAGCACAGUAAGAGCUUGCUCUUACGGGUGGCGAGUGGCGGACGGGUGAGGAAUACAUCGGAAUCUACUUUUUCGUGGGGGAUAACGUAGGGAAACUUACGCUAAUACCGCAUACGACGUACGGGUGAAAGCAGGGGAUCUUCGGACCUUGCGCGAUUGAAUGAGCCGAUGUCGGAUUAGCUAGUUGGCGGGGUAAAGGCCCACCAAGGCGACGAUCCGUAGCUGCUCUGAGAGGAUGAUCAGCCACACUGGAACUGAGACACGGUCCAGACUCCUACGGGAGGCAGCAGUGGGGAAUAUUGGACAAUGGGCGCAAGCCUGAUCCAGCCAUACCGCGUGGGUGAAGAAGGCCUUCGGGUUGUAAAGCCCUUUUGUUGGGAAAGAAAAGCAGCAGGUUAAUACCCCGCUGUUCUGACGGUACCCAAAGAAUAAGCACCGGCUAACUUCGUG
rnacentral:rRNA from 1 species